UACGUAGGGUGCGAGCGUUAAUCGGAAUUACUGGGCGUAAAGCGUGCGUAGACGGUUAUUUAAGUCGGGUGUGAAAGCCCCGGGCUCAACCUGGGAAUUGCAUUCGAGACUGAAUAGCUAGGGUACGGUAGAGGGAAGCGGAAUUUCCGGUGUAGCGGUGAAAUGCGCAGAUAUCAGGAGGAACACCAAUGGCGAAGGCAGCUCGCUGGGACGGUAGCUGACGCUGAGGCGACGAAAGCGUGGGGAGCAA
rnacentral:rRNA from 1 species